CUCUCUUGAAAAUGCAAAACCAGCGGCAGUAGCCACUUGCUGGAGUUGGGUAAAACCCAGGACUGUGUGGAAGCCGCCAUUCUGAUUGUCCGCGCAGACUCCCACCUCUGUGACUUCCUGGCGACCGGCUUCCUAGACAAGAAGGUGAAACUCAUCAAGAAAAUGGGCAGCUACCUGACCAACCUUCACAGGCUGGCUGGUUCCCAGGCGGGGCAGGGCGAGUAUCUCUUCCAAAGGCUCACCUCCAUCAUGACUAGUAGCCUCCGAAGCCCAGCAGCCUUUGAGGAGCCCCUCUGGUGACAGCGCUUCUGCCUGAAGCCCCUCUCUGCAGCCACUAAGUAGCUUUUUAAGCACUCUGGAGCUCUCUCCCAAGCCUUGGACCAUAUGGAAACUGUAAAGCUUUUUGCAGAAAAAACAGAAGGAAAGGAAAGAAAAAAAGCCUGCAUGAAGGUUAUUUAUCAGAUCAUACUUAAAGGGAAGUGAUUAGUUGUGUGGCCUCAGGCAAGUCCUUUAUUUCUCUGAACCCAUUUCCUUUCUUAAAAUGAGAUGGGUAGGAAAGCAGGAAAAUUGGGAAUCCAAAGUAGACUGUUCUGCUUUUGAUGCUUAUCUUCUAGUUUAAAUUCAAGGAAUUAUGAAGUCUUUACAUCAAGGCAGGGACAGUACACGGGGAAACAUCCAUGGUGGCAUCAUCCAUGGUGAGAAAGGUGUGGUUAAGAAGGUCAUUCUGGAGAGAGCAGUUACCUUCACAGUAAGCUUAGCCACAGAGCAUCUAGAUGAAGCAGAUUACCUGGGACAAGGGUGACAGACUCUAAAAGUCAAGCAAGUGACAUAAAUGAAUGAAGCAGGCCGAUUAUAAGAGAAUCAACAGCACAAGUGCAAUGGUAAGUGGCCAGUGAUACUCCAGGUCCGUGGCAGGACUCCAAUCGGGAGUGCUGGGGACUGUGGUAACUUGAGGAAAGCAUAUUCAGAUUCAGCCAAUGUUGCCGUGGAAGAGGCUAAGCCUAGGCUAGGAUAAUUGUUUCAUUUUUGUUUAAAAAUCUAGACAUCUGGAUUUUAUGUGAUUCAUAAAUUUUG
ensembl:lncRNA